UACGGAGGGGGCUAGCGUUGUUCGGAAUUACUGGGCGUAAAGCGCACGUAGGCGGCUUUGUAAGUUAGAGGUGAAAGCCCGGGGCUCAACCCCGGAAUUGCCUUUAAGACUGCAUCGCUAGAAUUGUGGAGAGGUAAGUGGAAUUCCGAGUGUAGAGGUGAAAUUCGUAGAUAUUCGGAAGAAACACCAGUGGCGAAGGCGACUUACUGGACACAUAUUGACGCUGAGGUGCGAAAGCGUGGGGAGCAAACAGGG
rnacentral:rRNA from 1 species